GACGAACGCUGGCGGCGUGCUUAACACAUGCAAGUCGAACGCUGAAGCUCAGCUUUUGUUGGGUGGAUGAGUGGCGAACGGGUGAGUAACACGUGAGUAACCUGCCCCCUUCUUUGGGAUAACGCCCGGAAACGGGUGCUAAUACUGGAUAUUCACUGGUCUUCGCAUGGGGGUUGGUGGAAAGGGUUUUUCUGGUGGGGGAUGGGCUCGCGGCCUAUCGGCUUGUUGGUGGGGUGAUGGCCUACCAAGGCUUUGACGGGUAGCCGGCCUGAGAGGGUGAACGGUCACAUUGGGACUGAGAUAAGGCCCAGACUCCUACGGGAGGCAGCAGUGGGGAAUAUUGCACAAUGGGCGCAAGCCUGAUGCAGCGACGCCGCGUGAGGGAUGGAGGCCUUCGGGUUGUGAACCUCUUUCGCUCAUGGUCAAGCCGCAACAAUGGUUGUGGUGAGGGUAGUGGGUAAAGAAGCGCCGGCUAACUACGUG
rnacentral:rRNA from 1 species